GACGGGGGAUGCGAGCGUUAUCCGGAAUGAUUGGGCGUAAAGGGUCCGCAGGUGGCCCGGUUAGUCCGCUGUCAAAACCUGGGGCUCAACCCUGGACAGGCGGCGGAGACCACCGGGCUUGAGUCCGGUAGGGGCAGAGGGAAUUCCCGGUGGAGCGGUGAAAUGCGUAGAGAUCGGGAAGAACGCCAAGGGCGAAGGCACUCUGCUAGGCCUGAUUUCGCGACUGACACUCAGGGACGAGAGCCAGGGG
rnacentral:rRNA from 1 species